rnacentral:tRNA from 2 species
GGUCCCUUAGCUCAGUCCGGUUAGAGCGCUCGGUUCACAUCCGAGAGGUCACUGGUUCAAAUCCAGUAGGGACCA